rnacentral:rRNA from 1 species
UACGUAGGGGGCAAGCGUUGUCCGGACUUAUUGGGCGUAAAGAGCGUGUAGGCGGCCAGGGAGGUCCGUUGUGAAAACUCGAGGCUCAACCUCGAGACGCCGAUGGAAACCCCCUGGCUAGAGUCCGGAAGAGGAGAGUGGAAUUCCUGGUGUAGCGGUGAAAUGCGCAGAUAUCAGGAAGAACACCCGUGGCUAAGGCGGCUCUCUAGUACGGUACUGACGCUGAGACGCGAAAGCGUGGGGAGCGAACAGG